GACGAACGCUGGCGGCGUGCUUAACACAUGCAAGUCGAACGAUGAACCCGGAGCUUGCUCCGGUGGAUUAGUGGCGAACGGGUGAGUAACACGUGAGUAACCUGCCCUUGACUCUGGAAUAACUGCGGGAAACUGUAGCUAAUACCGGAUACGACCCUCGGCGGCAUCGCCAGGGGGUGGAAAGAAUUUCGGUCAAGGAUGGACUCGCGGCCUAUCAGCUAGUUGGUGAGGUAACGGCUCACCAAGGCGACGACGGGUAGCCGGCCUGAGAGGGUGACCGGCCACACUGGGACUGAGACACGGCCCAGACUCCUACGGGAGGCAGCAGUGGGGAAUAUUGCACAAUGGGCGCAAGCCUGAUGCAACAACGCCGCGUGAGGGAUGACGGCCUUCGGGUUGUAAACCUCUUUUAGUAGGGAAGAAGCGAAAGCGACGGUACCUGCAGAAAAAGCACCGGCUAACUACGUGCCAGCCGCCGCGGUAA
rnacentral:rRNA from 1 species